rnacentral:rRNA from 1 species
AACGGCCGUACCAAGCUGAAUAUACCGGUUCUCGUUAGAUCACCGAAGUCAAGCAUCAUUGGGCGCGGUCAGUACUUGGAUGGGUGACCACCUGGGAACACUGCGUGCCGUU